GAUGAAGAACGCAGCGAAAUGCGAUAAGUAAUGUGAAUUGCAGAAUUCAGUGAAUCAUCGAAUCUUUGAACGCACAUUGCGCCCGCCAGCACUCUGGCGGGCAUGCCUGUUCGAGCGUCAUUUCAACCAUCAAGCCCCCAGGGGCUUGUGCUGGGGCCCUGCGGCUGCCCGCAGGCCCUGAAAACCUGUGGCGGGCUCGCUAGUCACACCGAGCGCAGUAGCACAUCUCGCUCAGGGCGUGCGGCGGGCUCCUGCCGUGAAACCCCCCACUGUAACCCCAAAGGUUGACCUCGGAUCAGGUAGGAAUACCCGCUGAACUUAAGCAUAUCAAUAAGCGGAGGA
rnacentral:misc_RNA from 1 species